GAUGAACGCUGGCGGCGUGCUUAACACAUGCAAGUCGAACGAAGCACUUUAUUUGAUUUCCUUCGGGACUGAUUAUUUUGUGACUGAGUGGCGGACGGGUGAGUAACGCGUGGGUAACCUGCCUUGUACAGGGGGAUAACAGUUGGAAACGGCUGCUAAUACCGCAUAAGCGCACAGCAUCGCAUGAUGCAGUGUGAAAAACUCCGGUGGUAUAAGAUGGACCCGCGUUGGAUUAGCUAGUUGGUGAGGUAACGGCCCACCAAGGCGACGAUCCAUAGCCGACCUGGGAGGGGGCCCGGCCACAUUGGGACUGAGACACGGCCCAAACUCCCACGGGAGGCAGCAGUGGGGAAUAUGGCAAAAGGGGCGAAAGCCUGAUGCAGCGACGCCGGGUGAGCGAAAAAGUAUUUCGGUAUGUAAAGCUCUAUCAGCAGGGAAGAUAAUGACGGUACCUGACUAAGAAGCACCGGCUAAAUACGG
rnacentral:rRNA from 1 species